GAGUUCGCAGUCCGAAGAACUUCUCGACGAACACCUAGAAAAAGAUUUGGACGUGCUUGGCCAGAGAAUAUCUACGCUUAAAGAUGUCAGCAAUGACAUCCACAUAGAGAUCGAAAAGAGCUACAGACACCUAGACAGCUUGAAUCACGAGAUGAGCAGUGUUGCGUUGGCUCUCAAAAGCAGUAUGAACAAGUUGAAGGUAGUGAUGAGUUCUCCCUCGAACAGGCUCAUGAUCUACUUGGUCUUGUUUAUUCUGGUGUUUGCAAUUAUUGUGUCGUUUUUGUUGAGAGUGCAGGGCUCCUGAUGCGCGCCCUGAUGCGCGAGGAAUAGAGAAAGGAGGCACGGAUAGGCCCCUGUGCAGCGGUACCGGAUAGAAGAUGCGAUCAAGCUUUCAUCUGGUUCUAGCUGAAAAGCGUGCAAUUGUACAUAAAAAAAGAUGCAGUUUACAAUAAAAAGAAACCAGUUCCCUGUGAUAGUCGUUAGACAUAAACGA